rnacentral:sRNA from 1 species
ACACAGGGAAGGAGGUGGUCCGCGAAAUUGAUAGCUUCAUGGACAUGUGAGGUGGCUACGCGCUAGCUGCAAUGGCUCGGAAGAGCCGGCGAUUUACGCGCGCUGGCGAAUUCCCCGUAGCCACCCGGCCCCCGAGCUUCCCGGUCUGUCCAACCAGGAACACGGCUCGGGGGCCGUUCCAU